UACGGGGGGGGCAAGCGUUGUUCGGAAUUACUGGGCGUAAAGGGCUCGUAGGGGGCCAACUAAGUCGGACGUGAAAUCCCUCAGCUUAACUGGGGAACUGCGUCCGAUACUGGAUGGCUUGAGUUUGGGAGAGGGAUGCGGAAUUCCAGGUGUAGCGGUGAAAUGCGUAGAUAUCUGGAGGAACACCGGUGGCGAAGGCGGCACCCUGGACCAACACUGACACUGAGGAGCGAAAGCCAGGGGAGCAAACGGG
rnacentral:rRNA from 1 species